GGCGAGAUGGCCGAGCGGUCUAAGGCGCCAGACUAAGGCAUUUCAUUCUUAGGGAUGGUCCGCAAUCUGGUCCGAAAGGGCGUGGGUUCGAAUCCCACUCUCGUCA
rfam:Ceriporiopsis subvermispora B unplaced genomic scaffold CERSTscaffold_1, whole genome shotgun sequence.